rnacentral:rRNA from 1 species
AUUGCCCUAGUAACGGCGAGUGAAGCGGCAACAGCUCAAAUUUGAAAUCUGGCCUCCUUUGGGGGUCCGAGUUGUAAUUUGCAGAGGGUGCUUUGGCGUCGGCAGCGGUCUAAGUUCCUUGGAACAGGACAUCACAGAGGGUGAGAAUCCCGUACGUGGUCGCCUGCCUUCGCCGUGUAAAGCCCCUUCGACGAGUCGAGUUGUUUGGGAAUGCAGCUCUAAAUGGGAGGUAAAUUUCUUCUAAAGCUAAAUACCGGCCAGAGACCGAUAGCGCACAAGUAGAGUGAUCGAAAGAUGAAAAGCACUUUGGAAAGAGAGUCAAACAGCACGUGAAAUUGUUGAAAGGGAAGCGCUUGCAGCCAGACUUGCUCGCAGUUGCUCAUCCGGGUCCGCCCGGAGCACUCUUCUGCGAGCAGGCCAGCAUCAGUUUGGGCGACCGGAUAAAGGCCUCUGUCAUGUAUCUUCCUUCGGGAUGACCUUAUAGGGGAGGCGUAAUGCGGCCAGCCCGGACUGAGGUCCGCGCAUCUGCUAGGAUGCUGGCGUAAUGGCUGUAAGCGGCCCGUCUUGAAACACGGAUCAAGGAGUCUAACAUCUAUGCGAGUGUUUGGGUGUCAAGCCCGGGCGCGUAAUGAAAGUGAACGGAGGUGGGAACCCUCUUCGGGGGGUGCACCAUCGACCGAUCCUGAUGUCUUCGGAUGGAUUUGAGUAAGAGCAUAGCUGUUGGGACCCGAAAGAUGGUGAACUAUGCUUGAAUAGGGUGAAGCCAGAGGAAACUCUGGUGGAGGCUCGCAGCGGUUCUGACGUGCAAAUCGAUCGUCAAAUUUGGGCAUAGGGGCGAAAGACUAAUCG